rnacentral:rRNA from 1 species
UACGAAGGGAGCUAGCGUUGUUCGGAAUCACUGGGCGUAAAGCGCACGUAGGCGGAUGUGUCAGUCAGGGGUGAAAUCCCGGAGCUCAACUCCGGAACUGCCCUUGAUACUCCCGCGCUUGAGAACUGGAGGGGACAUCGGAAUUCACGGUGGAGCAGUGAAAUGCGUGGAUAUCGUGAGGAACACUAGUGGCGAAGGCGGAUGUCUGGACAGUAUCUGACGCUGAGGCACGAAGGCCAGGGGAGCGAACGGG